GAGUUUGAUUCUGGCUCAGAACGAACGCUGGCGGCGCGUCUUAAGCAUGCAAGUCGAACGGCAAGAAAGGAGCUUGCUCCUUUCCUAGAGUGGCGGACUGGUGAGGAACACGUGGGUAAUCUACCCUUGAGAUGGGGAUAGCCGUUAGAAAUAGCGGGUAAUACCGAAUACACUUAAGGUUUCACAAGAGAUUUUAAGGAAAGGAAGCUACGGCUUCGCUCGAGGAUGAGCCUGCGUCCCAUUAGCUAGUUGGUGAGGUAACGGCCCACCAAGGCGACGAUGGGUAUCCGGCCUGAGAGGGUGAUCGGACACAUUGGGACUGAGAUACGGCCCAAACUCCUACGGGAGGCAGCAGCUAAGAAUAUUCCGCAAUGGACGGAAGUCUGACGGAGCGACGCCGCGUGGAUGAAGAAGGCUGAAAAGUUGUAAAAUCCUUUUGUUGAUGAAGAAUAAGGGUAAGAGGGAAUGCUUAUCUGAUGACGUAAUCGGCGAAUAAGCCCCG
rnacentral:rRNA from 1 species